rnacentral:lncRNA from 1 species
AGAGCCGAUAGCAUGUAUUUAACUACAUCGGCUUUGCAUACGGUAUAAAUUCUAGUUUUGGGAUCUUGUUUUGGAGUAUAAUUAAAAUUUUCUCUAAAAUGAUUUCUAAAAGAAACCCAUGUAAUGAGAGCUUGUGUAGCUCCAUUCCAUAAACUUGGCCUUUACUAUAAAAUGUUGAAAUCUUGGAAUGAAAGUGGUAAAUCUAUCAAGGGACAGUAAUCUGAAACAAACCCAUGUAUCCUUGCUCCCAAAAUUUGAAAAGUUCCAAAUUGUUGGAUUCAAAGGAGCAUUUCAGUCAAAAGUCAAAAAUCCAAUUUCAAAGGCCAAAAUUUGUGAAAUCCUGUUUAAAAGUAUUUGAAAAUGUGUUUUGAAUGUUUUUCAAGACCCUUGAAGC